rnacentral:tRNA from 1 species
GGGCCCGUAGCUCAGUUGGUAGAGCACCUCACUUUUAAUGAGGGUGUCGUGUGUUCAAAUCACAUCGGGCUCA